AGAUUGAACGCUGGCGGCAUGCUUUACACAUGCAAGUCGAGCGCCCCGCAAGGGGAGCGGCAGACGGGUGAGUAACGCGUGGGAACAUACCCUCCGGUUCGGAAUAGCUCAGGGAAACUUGGAUUAAUACCGGAUACGGUCGAGAGGCGAAAGAUUCAUCGCCAAUGGAUUAGCCCGCGUAGGAUUAGCUAGUUGGUGGGGUAAAGGCUCACCAAGGCUCCGAUCCUUAGCUGUUCUGAGAGGAAGAUCAGCCACACUGGGACUGAGACACGGCCCAGACUCCUACGGGAGGCAGCAGUUGGGAAUCUUGGACAAUGGGGGAAACCCUGAUCCAGCCAUGCCGCGUGAGUGAUGAAGGCCUUCGGGUUGUAAAACUCUUUCGACGGGGACGAUAAUGACGUACCGUAGAAGAAGCUCCGGCUAACUUCGUGCCAGCAGCCGC
rnacentral:rRNA from 1 species